GAUGAACGCUAGCGGGAGGCCUAACACAUGCAAGCCGAGCGGUAUUGUUUCUUCGGAAAUGAGAGAGCGGCGUACGGGUGCGUAACACGUGUGCAACCUGCCCUUAUCUGGGGGAUAGCCUUUCGAAAGGAAGAUUAAUACUCCAUAAUAUAUUGAACGGCAUCGUUUAAUAUUGAAAGCUCCGGCGGAUAGAGAUGGGCACGCGCAAGAUUAGCUAGUUGGUGAGGUAACGGCUCACCAAGGCGAUGAUCUUUAGGGGGCCUGAGAGGGUGAUCCCCCACACUGGUACUGAGACACGGACCAGACUCCUACGGGAGGCAGCAGUGAGGAAUAUUGGUCAAUGGGUGCAAGCCUGAACCAGCCAUCCCGCGUGAAGGACGACUGCCCUAUGGGUUGUAAACUUCUUUUGUAUAGGGAUAAACCUACCCUCGUGAGGGUAGCUGAAGGUACUAUACGAAUAAGCACCGGCUAACUCCGU
rnacentral:rRNA from 1 species